UGGACGAUGAAGGUAAACAAAGAAGGAAACAGAAAGAGAGUAGAGAAUGUUCAGUUGCUUGGUCCAACAACGCAGCAGGAAGAAGGAGUUUAAAAUAAAGAAUUUAUAAGGACUCCAGUUACCCGAAGAACGGAAUGUUCGUGACUCUCGGAGUACGUGAAGAAAAGCAUCGGAAUCCAGGUAGGGGAUUCGGGACUCUCCUCGAUUAGUGGGUUUAUUAUAUUACGAUUUUUAUUAAAUGAUGCAUGUUAAGUCUAUGUGGUUUGGUUAUGUUAAAAUGCAAUGCAUACUAACCAAAUCGUGAGAGAUGUGAUGGCUUGAGAGCGAAGGGUGGCUCUGACUUCCUUGGGUUCGAUCCCCAAAACCUCCGGAGGGUUAGUUACACCGGUCGGACGGUGCGCGAUCGCAAUGACGACCCGAUCCGUGUGUGUAGCUAGGUAGCGGACGCUCUCGCUACGCUUACCCGGUUAUAAAUUGAUUUGAGGUAAGGUCGUGUAGUGGGUCUAUGGGACCGGCCAUCAGGUAAUACUUGGAUUUGGCGCCGUAUUUAUUUAAGUAUCAUGCAUCGGUUUUCGAGUUGAAAAAUAUUUUAAAGUUUGUAAUUCUUUAAAUGACAUGGUUUUGAGUAUGUUUUUAUACUGUGGCCACAAAGCAAUAUUACAUUGUUUUCAAACCUAGUCGAGAUGAUUUCCCAAUGAGCAGCGAGGACGAAAGCUCACCCCUACAACAGUGUGGAUGCAGGUACUGUGCACUGGUGACGGGAUUGACGGACGGAGCAGGGUGCGCGGAGAUAGUUUCGGUGAAUAGUAGUAACUGAAUUCAGGUUCCGUGUCUAGUCUUGAACUCUAUCACUUGAGAGUCGUUAAUUUGGAACUUGUUAUUCCUUAUUUCGUCUUGUAUCGGAGUGUACCAACUCUUAUUUACCCUAGUGGAGAUCUAGAAGCGCUUUAGAUGAAUAAGUUCGAUAAAUGAUUCUAAAAAGUUUUCACCUCGAAAAGUAUUUCAACGUUUCCGCUACGCGAUUUAUGAAAAGCGAUUUAACUAAAAUGCCUUGCGGGUUUUUAGGAUGUAAACUGAACAUUCAGUUUAUGUCUUAGAGACACGCGGCACUGUGACGUGCUCAAGCUGAUGAGGUGCAGUUUGGGGCGUUACAGAAAGUGGUAUCAGAGCAAUGUUUCCAAAGUUUCGAUUUCUGUCGAUUUACAAUUUCUGGUACCACAAAUGUUUUUGUCGGCUAGAAAAAAAUUCAAAUUUUGGUUCAAGUUGUUUGUUUUUAAAUGUGGUUGUGUUCAAGGAAUUUCAACCAAUUUUCGAAAAUAAAGGGUUGCAAGUAUUACCAACGAAACCCCGUUGUUUGAAACUUUUGCUUUGGAAACUGUGUUUUAGAAAAAUGUUUCGAAAAGGUAUUUCUAGAAGGUGGUUUAAGCUUGUUUCAAAAAGUGUUUUGAAAAAUGAUUUGGCAAAGAAACUAUUUUGCGUUGUGACUUGAAAGUUUAGUUGCGAUUUAAAAUCAUAGGCGUGAUUUUGGUUGAGCCGACACUCAAAUGCAUUUUGUCGGAAAAAGACAGGUUUUAAGCAGAAACUACUGUUUUGUAGCAAUUAUUUCAGCUUGGUUUUGAGCAUUUGAAUUGCUCGGUAAAGAAAAUCUCGUGGUGUUUAAAAAGGUUUUUCGAAGUUCGUCUAAAGUCUUGGUUCUCAAGUUUUUCCUGUGAUAUAGAAUCUGUUCAGUAAUCGAAGUCUUAUUCAAUUGGUUCUGAAAUUUCAACUGCUUCAUCACUUCGAACUUCGAAUCCAAUCCUUGUGACAAAUGUUCGUCCUUUGGUGGAUUUCCAACUUUAGAUUCAUUCUUGGAAAUCAUAAUUCUUUCUUUGGAAGUUCAGUCGUUUUCCGGAUUAACUUGUUAUGGGCUUGUGCUCAUAACGUAUUAUUUAUUCGAAUCUUGAAUGGGUUGUUGGAUUCACUUCUGAAUUAUGCAUAUCCUUUGUCGAGUAUCAAGUGAAUCCCUUUUGUUUGAAUAUUGUUGGUUGGACUCGAUGCUUGUACUCUGUCUUGUAAUUUUUAUCGAGUCUGAUUUAUUCGAUUGUUAGUUAUGGACUCGGUUGUUGUGAUUCAUUUUGUAACCGUUAUCGAGUCCAGUUUGUUUGGUUGUUUGGGCUGGGACUCGGUUAUUAUUUUCUUGUUUCGUAUAUUUUAUCGAGUCCAGUUGUUGAUUGUUAGUGUAUCAAUUCCUUAAGAAUAAGUGAACUCUAUGCCACCCAAAUGCUCCUCCACAGUGCACAGACCACGGCAAAGGUGUGGCCCAGUAUAAAGAAGAGUAAAGGAAAAAGGUAUGUGGACGACAGACUUAGUCCCUGGAAGCUAAAUAUCUGUCUGUGAUGUUGUUGGAAGUUAUAUUGUGAAGUCUUUUUGGUUGUCUGAGUAGUGAAAAAUUGAUUCCUUCGUGGUGGUGAUGAUUUUGGUAAUGAAAUCGUUAUAGUAUGAGCCAUAACCCACAGGUCCCCGUAUUGUAUUAUUUAAAAAGCAGUGUUGGACGGAUGUUCUUCGUGUUAGACUAGAAAUGUUGUUCAAGGAAGAAGACCCCGCGAAAUGCGAAUCUCUUCUCGGAAAGAUCUUGUCGAGCUUAACUCGUCGACAUUUUCUAUUCCUUAACGUUCGAAUUGUGGAAAAGUGGAUCUUCAUCUCUCUCCAUCCACUGAGCAGCAAAAGGCAAUCUUCGCUUGAACGUGUUGAUUCUGAGUUAAAGCGAAAGGAGUUCUGUUGGUGUUCUUACUAGUUCGACGUUGCUUGUUGAAACUUUAGGAUUGUAAAAUCCGAAUUCACGGCGAAAGCUACGCGCAUCGGAACUUAUAGGUUUGACUAAGGUCCUACGAUACAUUUGACAGCGUUUGGGCAUUCUCGUGACGAUUGAAUGUGCUGAGGCGUUUUGAUCAUGAGCAGGAAACGUAUCAUAAUGGGUGUAGGAGACAAGGGUGUAUCUGCACUGAGCGAUCAAUUGCCGCUUCUGAAGUUGUGCUCUUUCGAUUCGCUCGAAUGUGUGGUAGAGGCUUCGCGUCUCCUGUACAAGUAGCUGGCUCGCGUUUCUUGACGCCAAAUGCGUGCACGUACGUUAAACAAGGUUACAUUGUUGCGCAAAUCGAAAUAAUUUGACACUAGGUGUUCACGUGUGCAAUUCUUGCGGAAUUGAGUUUGUUUGAAACUCCAUUAGUUGCUAAAGUCGAUAACGGGGAAUCGUGAGAUAGGACGUCUUUCUAGGAAGGAUCGACAAUCUUCGGGAUUCUGGCAUUAUCGAUUAAGGUACAUCUUCGAUAGGAAUCUACUGGACUACGAAAACAUUCCUUCCUUGCCUAAAGUUUACAUAUGUUGUUCUACUAUCUUGUUCCCCUAUUGUGAAAGUCUGAUUUUCAUCUUCCGCAUUUUACAAAUGCUAUUUAGCUAAGAAAAGUGACAUCGGUUUAAGCACUGAGUUUUUCCUACCAAGAAAAUUGUUUCAUUUCUCGAUUUGUGAAAAUUUCAGAUUUCUUGAAAAUUUGUAGCUUGUGCUUUUACGACAAACUUUAAACCAUUUUCAAAAGCUAUUUCGUAUAAAGGUUUACUAAAUUCUCCUCCCGUUGUCAAAGAAUUUUGCAUUUUUAGUUUCGUUUAAAAUGAGAAACUCGAUGUCUCAAAACAGUUUCCGAGUCGAAACUAAAUAUCUGGAACUUUUUCUGGUUUUACGAUGUAGCCACUUGGAAUGUAUUUUUACCCGGCUUCGACAAUUUGAAAGACUGAUAGUUUAAAAGGGAUUUUGCUUUCCCACUCCGGGUUAGAUUUGGAAACGUCUGAUUUUGCUCCUGUCUGAAUUGAAGUCGGGGUGAUUUUCACAAUUCAAGUGUGCAGUUGACAAAGAAAAGUUCUAAUUUUGGGUGUGAACUUGUUUCCUAACUUGGUUAUACUUUCAAAAUCUUUCUCUGUCUUGGUCUUUGUCUAGUUAAUAGUAUACACCCAAAAUUUUAUCCUUUGAAAUUAUUCGAGUACUUCCGCUUUUCCUACAAAUUUUGGAAGUUGUUCAGUAGUGUGGUUUCCUUGUACAAACGCAACUGUUUCAGCUUAAACUGAGGGUGGAAAGCAUGUUUUCUAUACCCUUGUAGUUGCUAAAAACAUCACACUGGAGAAACAAGAGGGUUGUAAAAGGAAUAAGGGUGGUCUUCCUACUCGACUAUGAAAAUGGGCGUGGUUACGACCAGUUGGUCACGAACCUAUAGUUACAAGACUCGACGCUCGACGUGUUACAGAAGUUGUUCAAGGCUACUUCGAUCUUGACUUCGUGGAAUAGUUACAUUAGCGAAAAUUAGUAAAUGUGAACUAACGUGUAGCGAACAGAAGUCGUCCUACGGGCCAAUGCGUAUUUUUCGUUCCGGGUAAAUUCGUUAAGUAGGGACGAAGCUUCGGAAACGCUACUACGACAACUAGCAUGCGGACCUCGAAUCUCUAAGAGAUGAACUCCAUGUGGUGAUCUUUGAAUUUCGUCGGAUCGUGACGGAAGCGCUUAUCGAAGCAUUCUAUCAAGACCAUUCGUUGGUUUGACGAAAUAGUGUCUAACGACGCGUUGAUGUGGAUUGCGGACACAAAUCUGUUGCGAUAGUAGCAACAUGAUUCAAGAUUUUCAUUUUUGGCAUAUCGUCAACGUGGUCGGAAUUAGUAUUUCGCCUAUGAGUUCGUGGAGUAGAUACGCUAGCAAAAGUGGCAGUCACGAACAGAUACGUAACGAACUAAAAUGGACGGCGAGAUAACUCGUAAAUUGUCGUCACAUGACAAGUCGUGGAGUAAAUCCUGGAAACCGGUUGUUAGGUUCCAUGGUGUUUUCCUCGAAAGUUUGGUUAGGAAAAAUUAGAUAUUCAACCAGUUUCAGUGUGUGUUUGUCCUUUUGGAGGACAAGGAACCCUUCCACGAUGACUGCGAGUCAUAUGUUGGUGACAACCGAUGAACUCUUAAGUGAGAGUGUAUUUUAUUAGUAGCUAAAGGUCGUUAAAAGCUAAGAAUUACGUUGGCAUCCACUUGUUUUUCAUAGUUGGCGUGGAUUCCACGAGAUGAUAUGAUUUUUACCUACGGGUAGCUGUGUAUGUCUUUAUUAAAGCUCAAAUUCCUGAAGAGCUCUGUACUUAUGAUGAGCAGGAAUUUGGUAUGGACGCUAGUCGUCCACGAAUAUGCCAAGUGAGGCAGUAUUGCGAGGAAAGUAAUGAGAUUGUUAAUUACUCAGUCUAGUUAUUACAAGAGAAGUCUUGUGGGUACAUUGUGAUGUAAUUGAUCGGAGCGAAGUGUUUCCUGUGAAGGAUAGAUGGGGAACACUUGGUAAAGAAAAAGGUUUAGCUCCGAUAGUGAUAUAUAUAUGACUAGUAAUGGUCGGGUUGUACCACAAGAAAUCAGAAAUCGGAAAGUAUUAUGGGAACUGGAGUCUGACAUAAGGGAAUAAGUUAUUGACCAGUUGACCAAUCAUGAAAUUUCGAGGACGAAAUUUAUUUAAGGGGGGUGGAACUGUGAGCCCCGGAAAAAUCUAUCGAGAUAAGGUGAGAUCGUUUGGAAUAAAUUUGACGAUCUCGGUAAUUAUUAAGGUCUUCGGGAAUAAUUAUUGGGAUUUUUCACAAGGUGAAAUCUUAAAAUUUUGGAUACUACAAUAAAGUACGCGACGUUACGAGUCUGUGAGAAUUUUCGGGGAAUUUAUCCGACACCGGAACUAUUUAUUUUGAAUUUCCGAAGUUUAGGAAUUAUGGAAAUUCAUUUUAAAUAAAAAGAAAUGCUCUGGCGUGAUCUGGACCGUUAAAAGACCACCGCUUGAUCAGCACCGUUCGUCUGAAAUGAAACUCAGGCUAUAAAUAGCCCUUAGAUCGAGUCAGCGUCCCAGAUCGUUCUAGAAUCGAUCAGAAAUUUCGACCCGUUUCUCCAGCCCUUGACCUGCGAUGAUAACCCGAUCGGAACUUCCCUCGUCCGGCGACUUCACAGCGGUGCACCGGUCAUGCCCGAUGCGUCUUCUCAUCGUGGUUCCUCCUGUGGUUACGGAUCAUCCAUGCAUGGAGCGAGGAGAGAGAAUCGAAGCCCAAAAGCUUCGGGUUUUCCGGCGAAGUUUCCUGAAAUUUCCGGCGAUCUUCGGAGCUGCAUGUGGUAUGGAAAUCGAUCCUCUCGGUGAGCUCUACGUACUGGUAUACUUAGUUUUCAGUUUUGGAUGGCUUUUGAUGAAUUGAUGUUUUGGUUGUUUCCGGGUACCGACGAGCUCACUGUACACGGUGAUGGUGGGAAACUGAAACUUAACUGGGUUGAGAAGCAAUAUAAGGAUUUUCCAUUAAGUCAGAAUUGAGAAGGAUGGAGAGCGUUGGACGAUGAAGGUAAACAAAGAAGGAAACAGAAAGAGAGUAGAGAAUGUUCAGUUGCUUGGUCCAACAACGCAGCAGGAAGAAGGAGUUUAAAAUAAAGAAUUUAUAAGGACUCCAGUUACCCGAAGAACGGAAUGUUCGUGACUCUCGGAGUACGUGAAGAAAAGCAUCGGAAUCCAGGUAGGGGAUUCGGGACUCUCCUCGAUUAGUGGGUUUAUUAUAUUACGAUUUUUAUUAAAUGAUGCAUGUUAAGUCUAUGUGGUUUGGUUAUGUUAAAAUGCAAUGCAUACUAACCAAAUCGUGAGAGAUGUGAUGGCUUGAGAGCGAAGGGUGGCUCUGACUUCCUUGGGUUCGAUCCCCAAAACCUCCGGAGGGUUAGUUACACCGGUCGGACGGUGCGCGAUCGCAAUGACGACCCGAUCCGUGUGUGUAGCUAGGUAGCGGACGCUCUCGCUACGCUUACCCGGUUAUAAUAAAUUGAUUUGAGGUAAGGUCGUGUAGUGGGUCUAUGGGACCGGCCAUCAGGUAAUACUUGGAUUUGGCGCCGUAUUUAUUUAAGUAUCAUGCAUCGGUUUUCGAGUUGAAAAAUAUUUUAAAGUUUGUAAUUCUUUAAAUGACAUGGUUUUGAGUAUGUUUUUAUACUGUGGCCACAAAGCAAUAUUACAUUGUUUUCAAACCUAGUCGAGAUGAUUUCCCAAUGAGCAGCGAGGACGAAAGCUCACCCCUACAACAGUGUGGAUGCAGGUACUGUGCACUGGUGACGGGAUUGACGGACGGAGCAGGGUGCGCGGAGAUAGUUUCGGUGAAUAGUAGUAACUGAAUUCAGGUUCCGUGUCUAGUCUUGAACUCUAUCACUUGAGAGUCGUUAAUUUGGAACUUGUUAUUCCUUAUUUCGUCUUGUAUCGGAGUGUACCAACUCUUAUUUACCCUAGUGGAGAUCUAGAAGCGCUUUAGAUGAAUAAGUUCGAUAAAUGAUUCUAAAAAGUUUUCACCUCGAAAAGUAUUUCAACGUUUCCGCUACGCGAUUUAUGAAAAGCGAUUUAACUAAAAUGCCUUGCGGGUUUUUAGGAUGUAAACUGAACAUUCAGUUUAUGUCUUAGAGACACGCGGCACUGUGACGUGCUCAAGCUGAUGAGGUGCAGUUUGGGGCGUUACAAGAACGUCCAGAAUUAUCCCUACUCUUAGGGUUUCGCUCCUUGCGUCCUCCCUUAGAGGCGCGACUAUAAUUAGACUCCGGAUUUGACUUGGUUCCCACGGGUCUGGAGUUAUAGUUCUUCACAAGUAUGUUGUCGUGCUUUUCAGCUACGUUCAAGGCACCAA